UUUUAUUAAAAGUUCAAUGUCAUCACUGUGGCAGUCUCCUUUCCUAGUCAUGGAAGAGCAUUUUCUUAUUUAUUGGCAAAGCUGUUACCAUUUAAUUGGUAUCAGAUUCUUGCACAAGUAACAUUC